UUUAAAUUUUAUUAAAAGUGACGGGCGAUAUGUGCAUAUCUAUUUCCUUUUUCAAUUCAAAAAUUUUAUUUUAUUGAUUUACUUUUAAAUCCUAAUUUAAUUUUAUUUUUAAUUUUAUCUUUAUUAUUUAUUAUUGUAUUCCACUGUUGCUUCUUUAUGACCUUUGUCUUGAUUAGUGAUAUGUUUUUUAAAUUCUUAAAUAAAUUUUAUUUCAUAUUUUACACAAUGAUAUAAAAAGUUAAAAUAAAAGUUGAUUUUAUUGUGGGUUGUCUAUUACAUUGCAGAAUCCUCUACUAAGAUUAGAUACCGCCAUAUUAUUUAGGUUUCUCUUUUUUAGCUACUAUCUUUUUAAUUUUUAAAA
rnacentral:rRNA from 1 species